CAGAACUUUGUGGCCAGACUGGCACUGCCAUGGAUAUUUACAGCCAUCAUCUGGCACUCAUACCUAAAUCCCAUAUGUAACAGAAUCGGACCCAGAAUGGUACAAAAUGGAGACAUAGUUUUAAAUAAAGUAUUUGUCCCUGAGGAAGACAGAUUACCAUGCAUCCAUUCAUUUUAGGAUAUAAACAAGGUGCAUGGUACAUCUUUUACCACCUCUGCUCCUUGCUUUGUUGGAUAAAGAUUUUUAAUUUUGUUGAACAUUUAACUUCUGAAACAGGUGCUUGCCAUGUCUCGCAUUAUGGUGGCAUGGCAGCCAAUAGGCGUAUCAAUGGGAGUUUUUGACAUGUCCCAUAGGUGUAUAUCACAUCACAAUAUCUGCUUUUUAGUUUAUUCAUUCUGAUCUAUGUAAGACUUCCAAUAUCUCUCAAUCUGUAGUUAUCUUUUUGAAAGAAAGAAAGAAAGCAAUUUGGAGGUCCAGUGGUUUCAGCUCAACCAAGAAAAGCUUGUUCGGAUGCUCGGCAACAUUGAGACCAUGGUUCUCGUUGGCUGGUGACUGUGCAAGCUCUAUGAGUCAGGCAAUAUGGCAUCAGGCUGGAGCUGGAGUGGUGUGAGAAAAACACUGUUACCUGGCUGGUGGCUGGAGGUUGGAGCUGGAGGGAUGUGAGAGGGAAAAACUGUAGCGCUGGAGGGCUGGAGACCAGCCGAACGCAGUAGUUUAGGCAAGGUUUGUAAGUUGCAGUAUAGCUAGCAAUGGUUGAACGGUUCCCUCAUCUUGAGCCCCGUGAUAUUUUCAUAAUUAGUUUUUUUUUUCAAAGGACAGGCCAAAGUUUUUGUUGCAACUUAAACUUAGCGUGGUUAUUUUUUUGCAACAUUA